GAAAUUUUUUUCUACUUUUACUUACACUGAUGCAUAUCAUUUUAGAGAGAUCUAGAGAUACGGUUUAAGAUAAAUCAUAUAGAAAAACAAAUGCACAUUGACCGAUACAUUCCAGUAGAUGCUUUGGAUGCUAGGGGGAAUGGUACUUGCAAUAAUUGAGAGUGCACUUGAGCCGACAGCGUUUUCAAGACUAGAAAUUUCCAUUUUCUUAACAAAGUAAUAAUAAAAAUAUGCUUCGCCGAGCGCAGCUGAAUACGACCACAGAGGUCAAACCCUGAACAGUUGGGACAAAUAUGUUCAAUAUUCAAACUUGAAACAGGUCUGAUUUUGGACUGUUAUUAAAUAUUUGGC
rnacentral:lncRNA from 1 species